rnacentral:rRNA from 1 species
GAUGAACGCUGGCGGCGUGCCUAAUACAUGCAAGUCGAGCGAACAGACGAGGAGCUUGCUCCUCUGACGUUAGCGGCGGACGGGUGAGUAACACGUGGAUAACCUACCUAUAAGACUGGGAUAACUUCGGGAAACCGGAGCUAAUACCGGAUAAUAUAUUGAACCGUAUGGUUCAAUAGUGAAAGACGGUUUUGCUGUCACUUAUAGAUGGAUCCGCGCCGCAUUAGCUAGUUGGUAAGGUAACGGCUUACCAAGGCAACGAUGCGUAGCCGACCUGAGAGGGUGAUCGGCCACACUGGAACUGAGACACGGUCCAGACUCCUACGGGAGGCAGCAGUAGGGAAUCUUCCGCAAUGGGCGAAAGCCUGACGGAGCAACGCCGCGUGAGUGAUGAAGGUCUUCGGAUCGUAAAACUCUGUUAUUAGGGAAGAACAAAUGUGUAAGUAACUAUGCACGUCUUGACGGUACCUAAUCAGAAAGCCACGGCUAACUACGU